rnacentral:rRNA from 1 species
UGGGGAAUAUUGCACAAUGGGGGAAACCCUGAUGCAGCGACGCCGCGUGAACGAAGAAGGUAUUCGUAUCGUAAAGUUCUGUCCUAUGGGAAGAUAAUGACAGUACCAUAGAAGAAAGCUCCGGCUAAAUACGUGCCAGCAGCCGCGGUAAUACGAAUGGAGCGAGCGUUGUCCGGAAUUAUUGGGCGUAAAGGGUACGCAGGCGGUUUAAUAAGUCGAAUGUUAAAGAUCGGGGCUCAACCCCGCAAAGCAUUGGAAACUGAUAAACUUGAGUAGUGGAGAGGAAAGUGGAAUUCCUAGUGUAGUGGUGAAAUACGUAGAUAUUAGGAGGAAUACCAGUAGCGAAGGCGACUUUCUGGACACAAACUGACGCUGAGGUACGAAAGCGUGGGGAGCAAACAGG